rnacentral:rRNA from 1 species
GACGAACGCUGGCGGCGUGCUUAACACAUGCAAGUCGAACGGAAAGGCCCUGCUUUUGUGGGGUGCUCGAGUGGCGAACGGGUGAGUAACACGUGAGUAACCUGCCCUUGACUUUGGGAUAACUUCAGGAAACUGGGGCUAAUACCGGAUAGGAGCUCCUGCUGCAUGGUGGGGGUUGGAAAGUUUCGGCCGUUGGGGAUGGACUCGCGGGUUAUCAGCUUGUUGGUGGGGGAGUGGCUUACCAAGGCUUUGACGGGUAGCCCGCAUGGGAGGGUGACCGGGGACAAUAGUACUGAGAGACGGAGCAGACUGCUACGGGGGGCAGCAGUGGGAAAUAUGGCACAGUGGGCGGGAGCCCGAUGCAGCGGCGUCGCGGGCGGGAUGACGGCCUUCGGGUUAUGAACCGCUUUCGCCUGUGACGAAGCGGGAGUGACGGUAAUGGAUAAAGAAGCACCGGCUAACUACGUG